GUGAGCCUGUGACAGGGAGGUCGUCGGUUCAAUCCCAAGACCGACAGGAUCAAAUCUGGGUGGAGAAGAGUGAAAGAGCAGCGCUUGUCCCUCCCUCAUUAACACCACUGAGGUGCCCUUGAGCAAGAUGCCCUUAACC